rnacentral:misc_RNA from 1 species
AAUUUUCUUUAGAUAUGAGAUUUAGAAAAGAUUUCAUGUUUGCAUUUGAUAUUGAGAUGUGAAAUUUAUUGAUAUGUGUUUGUGAAUAUUUUUGGUUGUUCGAAACUCUCAAAUCAAUCACACCUUCAUAUGCACCUUGAUCAACUGAGCAAAGUAGAUGGGCCCAAGCACAAACAAGUUGUAUGGUUUGAGAGUUUCGAAGCUCAAAGCUUCAGUCUUUAUAAGUCCUGGUCGACAUGUCAUUCCAAUGGCGAGGAGCUAGAAUGAGAAUGAAAGGGAGAAAAAUACACUAAAAUAUUUAUACAUCCCCACUUGGAAACCUGGUUUUUUAUUUAAAAGGAAAAAACCAAGCUCCAACUAAAAAAACAGAAAAAAAAGCAGCAAAAUGGGUGGCGAUUUGAAUGUGAAAAGGACUUCCUACAGCAUCGGUGCGGCGGCGGAGCUAAUGCUGCUACAACUUCCUGAUUCACAGCGAUCCUCAAGAAUGCAAGGAUCUAUUCCCUAUCAUACCGUACUAGUUUAUAUAUAUUUCAUAUCUCUAUCUAAUAGACAGCGAAAUUUUUAUUUUUGUUUGUUAGGUGGAGAAGCGUCUAGAAGAACCAA